rnacentral:tRNA from 6 species
GCCUGCAUAGUAUAAUGGUAAUACACAUCCAUGGUAAGGAUGAACUCGUGGUUCAAUUCCGCGUGCAGGCACCA